rnacentral:rRNA from 1 species
UACAGAGGUGGCAAGCGUUGUUCGGAAUUACUGGGCGUAAAGCGCACGUAGGCGGACUAUUAAGUCAGGGGUGAAAUCCCGGGGCUCAACCCCGGAACUGCCUUUGAUACUGGUAGUCUUGAGUUCGAGAGAGGUGAGUGGAAUUCCGAGUGUAGAGGUGAAAUUCGUAGAUAUUCGGAGGAACACCAGUGGCGAAGGCGGCUCACUGGCUCGAUACUGACGCUGAGGUGCGAAAGCGUGGGGAGCAAACAGG